AAUAUUGCAUAAUGGAGGGAAGUCUGAUGCAGCAACGCCGCGUGAGCGACAAAGGUUUUCGGCUCGUAAAACUCUGCAAUUGGGGGAGAAUAAAUGACGGUACCCAUUGAGGAAACCCGGGCUACCUAGGUGCCAGCAGCCGCGGUAAUACGUAGGGGGCGAGCGUUGUCCGGAAUUACUGGGCGUAAAGGGUACGUAGGCGGCUAUAUAAGUCAGGUGUGAAAUACCAGUGCUUAACACUGGAAUUGCAUUUGAAACUGUGUAGCUUGAGUGCAGGAGAGGAAAGUGGAAUUCCUAGUGUAGCGGUGAAAUGCGUAGAGAUUAGGAGAAACACCAGUGGCGAAGGCGACUUUCUGGACUGUAACUGACGCUGAGGUACGAAAGCGUGGGUAGCGAAC
rnacentral:rRNA from 1 species